ACCUCCCACCAUGGCUUUGAAGAGAAUCCGUAAGGAAUUGAAUGACCUUGCAAGGGACCCUUCAGCACGAUGUUCAGCAGGUCCUGUUGGAGAUGAUAUGUUCCAUUGGCAAGCUACAAUACUGGGGCCAAAUGACAGUCCCUAUCAGGGUGGAGUAUUUUUCUUGACAAUUCAUUUCCCAACAGAUUAUCCCUUCAAACCACCUAAGGUUGCAUUUACAACAAGAAUUUAUCAUCCAAACAUUAGCAGUAAUGGCAACAUUUGUCUUGAUAUUCUAUGGUCACAGUGGUUUCCAGCACUAACUAUUUCAAAGUUCUUUUGUCCAUCUGUUCUCUGUUGUGUGAUCCCAAUCCAGAUGAUCCCUUAGUGCCUGAGAUUGCUCGGAUCUACAAAACAGAUAGAGAAAAUUGCAACAGAAUAGCUCAAGAACAGACUCAGAAAUAUGCGAAGUAA